rnacentral:ncRNA from 1 species
UUAAAUACUUGGCAAAGCUAUAGAAAUAUAGUGACGCAAAGCUAUGGGUCUUCGCACAUUUUAGUGAAAGAUCGCCAGGUUGCCCAU